rnacentral:rRNA from 1 species
AGCGAACGCUGGCGGCAGGCCUAACACAUGCAAGUCGAACGAACCUUUCGGGGUUAGUGGCGGACGGGUGAGUAACACGUGGGAACGUGCCUUUAGGUUCGGAAUAACUUAGGGAAACUUGUGCUAAUACCGAAUGUGCCCUUCGGGGGAAAGAUCUAUCGCCUUUAGAGCGGCCCGCGUCUGAUUAGCUAGGUGGUUGAGGUAAUGGCUCACCAAGGCGACGAUCAGUAGCUGGUCUGAGAGGAUGAUCAGCCACAUUGGGACUGAGACACGGCCCAAACUCCUACGGGAGGCAGCAGUGGGGAAUCUUGCGCAAUGGGCGAAAGCCUGACGCAGCCAUGCCGCGUGAAUGAUGAAGGUCUUAGGAUUGUAAAAUUCUUUCACCGGGGACGAUAAUGACGGUACCCGGAGAAGAAGCCCCGGCUAACUUCGUG